UAGGGAAUCUUCCGCAAUGGGCGAAAGCCUGACGGAGCAACGCCGCGUGAGUGAUGAAGGUCUUCGGAUCGUAAAACUCUGUUAUUAGGGAAGAACAAAUGUGUAAGUAACUAUGCACGUCUUGACGGUACCUAAUCAGAAAGCCACGGCUAACUACGUGCCAGCAGCCGCGGUAAUACGUAGGUGGCAAGCGUUAUCCGGAAUUAUUGGGCGUAAAGCGCGCGUAGGCGGUUUUUUAAGUCUGAUGUGAAAGCCCACGGCUCAACCGUGGAGGGUCAUUGGAAACUGGAAAACUUGAGUGCAGAAAAGGAAAGUGGAAUUCCAUGUGUAGCGGUGAAAUGCGCAGAGAUAUGGAGGAACACCAGUGGCGAAGGCGACUUUCUGGUCUGUAACUGACGCUGAUGUGCGAAAGCGUGGGGAUCAAACAGG
rnacentral:rRNA from 1 species